UGAGGAAUAUUGCGCAAUGGGGGCAACCCUGACGCAGCAACGCCGCGUGAGUGAGGAAGGUUUUCGGACCGUAAAGCUCUGUCGAGCGGGAAGAAACGCAUGGUGGCUAAUAUCCAUCAUGCUUGACGGUACCGCUAAAGGAAGCACCGGCUAACUCCGUGCCAGCAGCCGCGGUAAUACGGGGGGUGCGAGCGUUGUUCGGAAUUAUUGGGCGUAAAGAGCGUGUAGGCGGCCGAAUAAGUCAGAUGUGAAAUCCCUGGGCUUAACACAGGACGUGCAUUUGAAACUAUUCGGCUAGAGUAGGGGAGAGGAAAGUGGAAUUCCUGGUGUAGAGGUGAAACUCGUAGAUAUCAGGAGGAACACCGAUGGCGAAGGCGACUUUCUGGCCCUAUACUGACGCUGAGACGCGAGAGCGUGGGUAGCAAACAG
rnacentral:rRNA from 1 species